rnacentral:rRNA from 1 species
UACGUAGGGGGCUAGCGUUGUCCGGAUUUAUUGGGCGUAAAGAGCGUGUAGGCGGUCAGGUAGGUCGGUUGUGAAAACUGGAGGCUCAACCUUCAGAGGUCGACCGAAACCCCCUGGCUAGAGUCCGGGAGAGGAGAGUGGAAUUCCUGGUGUAGCGGUGAAAUGCGCAGAUAUCAGGAAGAACACCCGUGGCGAAAGCGGCUCUCUGGGACGGUACUGACGCUGAGACGCGAAAGCGUGGGGAGCGAACAGG